UACAGAGGGGGCUAGCGUUAUUCGGAAUUAUUGGGCGUAAAGGGCGCGUAGGCGGCUUUGCGCGUCUUCCGUGAAAUCCCUCGGCUCAACCGAGGACGUGCGGAAGAAACUGCAAGGCUCGAGUCCGGAAGAGGGGGGCGGAAUUCCCAGUGUAGCGGUGAAAUGCGUAGAUAUUGGGAGGAACACCAGUGGCGAAGGCGGUCCCCUGGGCCGGAACUGACGCUGAGGCGCGAAAGCGUGGGUAGCAAACGGG
rnacentral:rRNA from 1 species